UGGCAAUCGAUUCUUUCAAGGAUCUUGAAGACGCUCCCAACGAUCGGUCGAUCACCAUUCGUCGAUCGUGACACUCACUACUUACUCCAGAUACGAUGGGAUGUCACCGUUGUCUAACCGAACGCACCCCUUCCGAGAACAAUCAAACGGCGCUUACGAUCGCCACCAAAGAUAAAUUAUACCGUAGCCGAGAGUUAUUUGAAUAGAAACUGACCGCGCAUCCCGGGCGAAUCCUCAUAUUUUCUCGCAAUGCCGCCCGUCGGGCUCGGGCUGCUUACUCUUGUUCCCUAAGUGCAGGAAAACGUAAGUUACUUCGCCCAAUCAGCGGAACGCCGUAGUUAUAUAGGCGCGUAUUCCUCCCCCAGUGCUAUCGUCGGAGAUGGUUCGCGAUGUGCUGGGCCAGCUGUUGCGAAGGUGGUGGUAAAGUCGUCCUGGUGGAGGAGGCAUUUCGCGUUGCUGGAGGAAAGGAACUCACGAUGGUGGUGGGUUCCAACGGACACGGGUUACGGAAAGCUCGAAUCUCGUGUAGCGAUGGGCCCGAUCUCCUACUUGUUCAUUCUAUCUGAACUAGAAGUAAUGAUAUCUACAUGGCAGUGAAAUUUUAUGAAGGAUGACCGAAUUAAGAGACUACAUUCAAAACCAUAGUACAUAUUUAACGUGUAUCAUGAAAUCUGAAGAGCAUUUUUAAUUAUAAGGAAUUCUGUAUGUCUUUACAGAAUUGUAAAGGAUUAUAAAAGGAGGAGAAGAGUAUCCGUGGUAUUAAUCUCUACAUCGUAUCAAUAGGAAAUUGAUCCCAUCGCUACGUCCAUUCUCCUUCCUCCUCGCCUUUGUCCACCUCCUACGAACCUGGCGAUCUUACUUCGUGCCACAGUGGGCCCAUCGUUCCGGAGAAAGUGAUCGGGAACACGAUGAUCCGGUCGAGCGAGCCAGGCGGUUUCGUUCCCUUGGUAUUUACGCGCCUGUGUCCGGCAAAAACGAAGUUCAUGGGGAGGCAAGGUUAUGUAGCAAGGUUAUACCCGGUGAUCCAGAUUACCUGCAGACGGGAGAGUGGUGGAACCAGUUGGAGCGCGGCAACUAGCGUUUGACGAAAUUCUUUUUUACCCUUUUUACGGUUCAUUCGAUUUCAGAAUAGCGUCAGGCGAUUUCUCUUCCGGGAAGCCCUCGGGCCUGGGCCAUUGCUUUUCCUUUUGCGGAUUGUUUUCGACGAUGAUUGCCCUCAAGGGGUAAUCGAAACGAUUAAGAAAUGUUAGAGAUCGGCAGGUUGAACAUUUGCGGUGUAUGGAGGAUCCGCUCAGCGAAUUUCACUUUGCUUUCGAAAGGUCACUCGUGUUUUAGGGAUAUGUAGGAUAUUAUUAUAUAGAACAUUACGUAUAAAAUAUUAUGUAAUGCUUGUAUUGUACAAUAUUGCUAUUUAAUCCACUGUGUUAUUCUGUUAUACUACGUACUGUUAUUACAUGCUAUAUAUUUAUUUUUUAUUUAUUUCAUUAAAUUAAAUGAACAAAUUUUUUGACAAUAGAACAAUUUUUAUUUCAGAACAAAAGGGAAUACAUCAGGUACAAAACUAUUUGUUUAAAAUAAAUAGUAAAAGCGUGAAAAGCGUCCCCACAAAUUAAAGGAACUAAUUAUCGCUGCUAGGCACAAUCGAUGCUUCCAGGAAUAGUCUCUUCUCCGCGAUGAAUGAUUAUAACCUUCCCCGGUUCGCACGAUUUCUAACGAUUCCUCUUUCAUUAAUUAAACAUGCAAACACAGGCUUCCGACCGUAGACGUCAACGAUACCGUUGGCACAAUUUUAUUGAUCAUUAAGUGAUUCAAUCCCAGCAUGGCAAAGCCACACGCAGCGUUUAUAAUCAGCUUACGCGAAGAGGAAGAGGAUGUUACCGAUAAGCUUUCGCAAGAUUGAAUCUUCGUAAAAGGAACACGACGAUGUAGCGUUUUAUUUGAAAAGCUCAUAAUCACGGAUGCCUGCACGGGUGAAAGUAUAUACAUACCGAAGGAAGAAAAUUUAUAACGUAAAAGCAACAGGCCUGCAGACCGAGGAAUUACGAGGCAAAUUUUACGGAGUCGAGCAAUUACGAGAUACAGGUCAAUUUCACUGGAUCAAUUUUGCAAUUUAACGGAUAGACGUCGAGGGAGACGCUAGAGGAACUUGGACGUCGUUUCAGGAAGUUAUCCACGGUGACGAGUCACUCGACUCGAUCCGCUAACAAGCUGAAAGCGAUAAGUGGUUAAAUUCGCACAAGAUACAUUCGUGUAUUUGUCGGAUGAAAGCGAAUUCUUUGCUUUACUGCGGACAGCUAGGAGUAUAUUACAUGAAAUUGUUAGAAUACGUUCCAGCAAUUCCGAAUUCGUUGCAUCAAUCUUAGAAAAUAAUGUAAAUCUCAUUAUUCUCUAAAUAUAAAAAAGUCCACUAAAAAUAUACAAACUAUAUUAGUCGCACACAAAAAGUAUUAAACACCGAUAACAAAGUCAUUUUAAAUAUUUGUAAUAACAGUCAACACAGUAACGAGUGUAUACUCUGUAGAUGUCAAUAAAUAUUCGGAGAGAUUGUAUCUAAUGUAACGUAUAUUGUUUGCUCAGCGCGUGGGUAGAACUAAAAGAGCGACGUUUGAAACAUUCCAAAGACGAUAGCAAAUAAAAGAGCAUGUGUUUGAGGAAUUUUUAUUUGCACUCUAAGUGUUCGGUUUAUGGACGAGUACCUACGAUUCACUUUCUAAACGUGCCGUCCCUCAAGGUAGUUGAUAUCGCUUUUCGAAAUGUCUAGCUGUUCGAUAUUUGGGUUACGUUCACCUGCUAAGUCUUCAUGGAAAAUAAAUAAUUGCGACAUUUUCUUAGGAAACGUUGGACCCGUUGACUGAUAUAGAGCGAGAGUUUUGUUCCGUUUAUGGUAUCUUUUGUAAGCUUAGAAUAUUUUAAGCUUGUAAGCAGAUAUUUCAUUUGGAAGAGAAUGAAUCAUCGCUCAUGAAGGAAUGUCAUUCUACUUUUGCAUCAAUUCUGAAAUCGUGUUUUUGCGUGUCUCACCAUGGGUAAUCAGUUUAAAUCUUUACACGAAUUUCUCCUUUAGUGAUUUCUUCGCCAUGCCCCUAUCUUGAAGUCGACAAUAAUCCAUCGAGAGACUCGACAUAUAGAAGAAAGUUUUAUCCUUCGUAUUUUCCACUCGAUACAUAUCUUUCGUUUCUUCUUACCUCGUGAUUUUGCUUUCUACCAUAACGUAUAUUACAAAUUGAUGGAAAAAGCUGAAGAAUCAUGGAUUAAACUAUCAUCAGCUGUUUCGUGGGAAGCAUUGGAACGCAUUUACGAUUCAAUUAUAGGAACACUUCGUUCUUCGUGACUCGAGAACACAUUUCAAGAUGUCUUCGGUGUCAGCAUAUGUUGUGGAAUCAGAUACUCUGUUAUUGAGUCUAUUAAUCCGGAGGAUAAAUAACGCAGCACGUCCCGAAGAAGAAACAGCCUUAUUUACUUUCUUCAACUCUUUUUACUUCUUCGAGUAUUGUUUGUACACAAGAGCAGUUUAUAUCUUGUUUAUACACCACGCACAAAGAAUCAGAAAGAUCAGUGAAAACUUGUACUGCUAUCAACUAUUGACGCAUUUAUCAUAAAUCGCCAUUAAUCUUGUGAGCACAAUUAUAUCUUUCUGCGCCAAAAAACCUUCCAUUUGUCUUGGACUUUUGAAGCCUGUAAUUUGGUGCCAGUGAAAGGCGCCGGAGAUGAUUUCAUGCCGGCGGUCGCACACACGCACUGUUCGCAUGACCAUAUAAACAAACGGUUAUCACGUUACCUAAUCGUUACCACUAGCCACCCAUUGUCAAUUAACACGUAGCCCGGACAUUUCGCCAAUUAAAGCGAUCGUGCGAAUCCAUUUCGCUAAAAUGGGAGAAAGAAAGGAUUAUGGAAAUUUUAAAUGCUUGUUUGUCUUAGGUCGAAACUUUCAUUGUUGUCCAAGCUUGAAGUUGCACUCUUUUGAGAGCAAACACGUAACUUGUCUGGUACAAUGAAACUAAAUGUAUACUUUUUAAUUGACUUACUUUAUUAUUAACUUUUCAAGUGUGCGUUUCACGGCCCACAUGAUCGUACAUUAGCAUAUUUCUGUCUAAUCUCGGAAUAUCCGCUUGUUCCGUCGGGUUCAGUGAAAGUAACAAAAGCGAGCGGGCGAUUAAUGUAACAUCCGUGAUUCGGUUAAUCUGAUCAUUACAGUUCCUAAACCCAACUGGGACUGUUUUUAAUUAAUACGUGGACACUCAGGAGAAAGGUAUUUCGUUCCUCGGAGUAUCAUGGUUCAUGAUAUUAAUAGAACAAAAUUACAUUUGCAGGUAGUAGGAUGUUCGCCAGGAAAGUCUCCAAGUAUCAUAAUAGAACCGUUUAGAAAAUACAAAGUCAUGCUUUCUAAUCGCUGCGUUUAAUUAUCAAUCACUAGACCGAUUAACGAUCAUUACAAGGCAAUACAAACUGUACGAUUUUCUUUUUAGGAUACAAAACCGGAUGCUCCGCUCUCACAAAGUUUAGGAAGCCACGGAAUUGCAGGCAUUUUUAUGCUGUCUUGCAUGAGAUUUCAAAACGAGGGUGAACAAAGAAACACGGUACAUACACAAAAUGUAAUUGUCACUGGAGAGUGUCAGAAUGCGCUAAUCGUCUAGCAAGCAGGAUCAACUUUCACAUAUUGUAACAACUUCAUGAACAUCAUGACGGUGAAACUGCGACGAAGAGGAAACGCGUAUCCGCGAGGUCAUCAAGUUCAGACUACCCUUUUCCCAUGUGACUCGGUCUUCUCUUUCCUGGUUGUUGAGACGAUUUCCUCGAUGGGAAAGUCACGGUCAUGUAACGUGGCCAUCCUCCGCCGCAUCUACAGAGAUGCCAUCCGUUUUCGACGUACGACAACGAACGUGCACACGCUUCCGCUGUAACGAACGAGUAGAGAGUAGAGGAAGCAGCGGAGACGAACCUACCAGGUCGAGAGUGAAACUGUUCGAUGCAACGUGAUUGCACCCAAUUAAGAAACUUCUUGAAUCAACAGUUUUCGAACCGGUGUAUCGGGUUUUGCGCGGCGGUCGUGAAAAUAUUCUUUAACUUAAUGGUUCAACUUGUUGGAAAAUCACGCAUGUUCUGACGCUCGCUGUGCACUGGUACCCAAGAUAUACGCUUCUUCCCACCACGUACCAGUU